UCCGCCAUGGUUAGGGCGGUCAAGCCAACUCUCAUACGAGCUCCUGGCGGUUCAUU
rnacentral:tRNA from 2 species